UAACUUUCAACAACGGAUCUCUUGGCUCUUGCAUCGAUGAAGAACGCAGCGAAAUGCGAUAAGUAAUGUGAAUUGCAGAAUUCCGUGAAUCAUCAAAUCUUUGAACGCAAAUUGCACUCCUUGGUAUUCCGAGGAGUAUGCUUGUUUGAGGGUUGUUC
rnacentral:rRNA from 1 species